ACUCAAAUGAAUUGACGGGGGCCCGCACAAGCGGUGGAGCAUGUGGUUUAAUUCGAUGCAACGCGAAGAACCUUACCAGGUCUUGACAUCUGGCGAAUCCGGUGGAAACACUGGAGUGCCUACGGGAGCGCCAAGACAGGUGGUGCAUGGUUGUCGUCAGCUCGUGUCGUGAGAUGUUGGGUUAAGUCCCGCAACGAGCGCAACCCUUGCUAUUAGUUGCUAACAUUUCGGAUGAGCACUCUAAUGGGACUGCCUGUGACAAGCAGGAGGAAGGUGGGGAUGACGUCAAAUCAUCAUGCCCUUUAUGACCUGGGCUACACACGUGCUACAAUGGAUGGUACAGAGAGGAGCGAGGCCGCGAGGUAGAGCGAAUCUCAGAAAGCCAUUCUCAGUUCGGAUUGCAGUCUGCAACUCGACUGCAUGAAGUCGGAAUCGCUAGUAAUCGCGAAUCAGCAUGUCGCGGUGAAUGCGUUCCCGGGCCUUGUACACACCGCCCGU
rnacentral:rRNA from 1 species